GGAGAGAUGGCUGAGCGGCUAAAAGCAAUAGUUUGCUAAACUAUCAUACAUGUAAAAAUUACAUGUAUCGUGGGUUCGAAUCCCAUUCUCUCCA
rnacentral:tRNA from 1 species